rnacentral:tRNA from 1 species
GGGGGCAUAACUCAGUUGGUUAGAGUACUUGACUUUUAAUCAAGGAGUCGUGAGUUCGAGUCUCACUGCCCCUACCA